rnacentral:rRNA from 1 species
ACAUGCAAGUCGAACGUGAUUUUUGUGGAAAUUCUUUUCGGGAAUGGAAAUGAAAUGAAAGUGGCGAACGGGUGAGUAACACGUGAGCAACCUACCUUACACAGGGGGAUAGCCGUUGGAAACGACGAUUAAUACCGCAUGAGACCACAGAAUCGCAUGAUAUAGGGGUCAAAGAUUUAUCGGUGUAAGAAGGGCUCGCGUCUGAUUAGCUAGUUGGAAGGGUAAAGGCCUACCAAGGCGACGAUCAGUAGCCGGUCUGAGAGGAUGAACGGGCCACAUUGGAACUGAGACACGGUCCAAAACUUCUUACGGGAGGCAGCAGUGGGGAAUAAUGCACAAAUGGGGGGAAACCCCUG